UAGACUAGGAUUAGAUACCCUAUUAUUUGAUAUGUAAAUAUUUACCUGGGUAAUAUUAGUUAUGUUCUUUAAACCUAAAGGAUUUGGCGGUGUUUUAGUUUAUUUAGAGGAAUUUGUUCUGUAAUCGAUAGUCCUCGUUUUAUCUUGCUUUAUUUUGUUUUCAGUAUGUAUAUCGCUGUUAUAAGUUUAUUUUUAUAGAAUUUUAAUUUACUUAAUUUAUUAUUAUAAUUUAUUUC
rnacentral:rRNA from 1 species